AUUGAACGCUGGCGGCAUGUCUUACACAUGCAAGUCGAACGGUAACAGGUCUUCGGAUGCUGACGAGUGGCGAACGGGUGAGUAAUACAUCGGAACGUGCCUAGUAGUGGGGGAUAACUACUCGAAAGAGUGGCUAAUACCGCAUGAGAUCUACGGAUGAAAGCAGGGGAUCGCAAGACCUUGUGCUACUAGAGCGGCCGAUGGCAGAUUAGGUAGUUGGUGGGAUAAAAGCUACCAAGCCGACGAUCUGUAGCUGGUCUGAGAGGACGAUCAGCCACACUGGGACUGAGACACGGCCCAGACUCCUACGGGAGGCAGCAGUGGGGAAUUUUGGACAAUGGGCGAAAGCCUGAUCCAGCAAUGCCGCGUGCAGGAUGAAGGCCUUCGGGUUGUAAACUGCUUUUGUACGGAACGAAAAGCCCUGGGUUAAUACCCUGGGGUCAUGACGGUACCGUAAGAAUAAGCACCGGCUAACUACGUGCCAGCAGCCGCCGUAA
rnacentral:rRNA from 1 species